rnacentral:rRNA from 1 species
CCUACGGGUGGCAGCAGUGGGGAAUAUUGGGCAAUGGACGCAAGUCUGACCCAGCAACGCCGCGUGAAGGAAGAAGGCUUUCGGGUUGUAAACUUCUUUUAAGGGGGAAGAGGAGAAGACGGUACCCCUUGAAUAAGCCACGGCUAACUACGUGCCAGCAGCCGCGGUAAUACGUAGGUGGCAAGCGUUGUCCGGAUUUACUGGGUGUAAAGGGCGUGCAGCCGGGCCGACAAGUCAGAUGUGAAAUCCGCGGGCUUAACCCGCGAACUGCAUUUGAAACUAUAGGUCUUGAGUGCCGGAGAGGUAAUCGGAAUUCCUUGUGUAGCGGUGAAAUGCGUAGAUAUUAGGAGGAACACCAGUGGCGAAGGCGGCUUACUGGACUGUAACUGACGUUGAGGCUCGAAGGCGUGGGGAGCAAACAGGAUUAGAUACCCUAGUAGUC